rnacentral:rRNA from 1 species
UACGAAGGGUGCAAGCGUUACUCGGAAUUACUGGGCGUAAAGCGUGCGCAGGCGGUUUGUUAAGUCUGCUGUGAAAUCCCCGAGCUCAACUUGGGAAUUGCAGUGGAUACUGGCAGGCUGGAGUAUGGUAGAGGAAGGUGGAAUUCCCGGUGUAGCAGUGAAGUGCGUAGAGAUCGGGAGGAACACCAGUGGCGAAGGCGGCCUUCUGGACCAAUACUGACGCUCAUGCACGAAAGCGUGGGGAGCAAACAGG